GUUUCCUAUAUAUUCGCUCAACUGAAAUAAAAAGGGGAUACAAAGUUGCUGGAUAUGCAUGAGAUGAUUCACUCUCUUGGAAUUUCAGUGUGAUAUUUGGUCUAAGCAAUGGUGGAUGAGAUGAUAGUCAAAGCCAGAAGAUAAUCUGCAGUUUACACCAUAAGCAUAGCACAUGUUAUGAUUGGAAGUUCUGGCUUUGAGUAUCAUCUCAUCAACCAUUGCUUAGAUAAGUUUGAAUUUAUGCGUUGGAAUGUUCACAUUGCUUGACUACAACUAAAGUGCUCCUGAAGGAACCUCAGGAUUCUUGCCCGAAGAUGCUACUCAUACUACUGCGUUUGCUCAUGUUGAGUCUUGAAAAUUUCUCAGUUCUACCGUGCUUUGUGGUUGUUCUGUUUUUCUUUGUUCUAACUUCAGUUUGGAUUCUUAUUCAGAACGAAUCAUUCUUGUGUUGAUGGAAAUAAUUUUUUUUAAUGGUUUGUAGAGAAUUUCCUCUUCUUCUAUAUUUUUAUGUUCUUUUUUAUUUUCUUAAUGAUUGAUGGAGGAGUUUAGAAUACCAAA